GAAAUAUGAAUUUUCCCCAGGAAAAAGUAACACAUUUCUUUUUGGCUUUUAUUUUUGAGUUAGUUAUAGACUGCCUGCACUGUAAAAAAUAAUACAAAGAGAUCCUAUAUACCCUUCACUCAGUUUUCCCCAAUGGUAACAUCUUGCAUGAUGAUAGAACAAUAUCGCAACCAGGAAAUUCCAGCAACCCAAUUCAGACGUCAGGUUUUACAUACACUCCUUUGUGUGUAUGUGUGCAUUUAGUUCUAUGCAAUUUUAUCACACAGCAAAUAUUUUUUAAUAAUAAUCCAAUCUACUCCACCUAGUCCAAGUAAAGGACUAGGACUAUUUAACUGGGGAAGUAAGACUGAUAUCUCUCCUCUCACUAAGAUCCCUGUCUUUGAAAAAUGAGUUCAUGGAGACCGAUGGGACUAGAUCAGAAAAAACAAAAAUGUCUUUAAAUCUAUCUUGAGGAGUUGUAAAUGUAGUGAACAUUUGUAGGUUUGGCCUACCCAGCAUAACUCCCCCUUCUGGGGGCAGAACUUGUAUUUUGUUUUGGGAAAGCAUCCCUCUCCCAUUUUCAGGACGUGUGUGCAAGUGGGGUUGACCACAUUCUGAGCUUUAAGGGUGGGCACCUCCCCUGGCUCACACUUGGCCUUGCAACACAUUCCAUCUUCCUGGCCACAGUCACUGGUUCAGAGAUGGACACAUGAACUAAGCUGGUCCCAUAAGAACCAACCCAAGACAUUUCACUGAAGCGAUUGAUAAAGAUGCUCUCUUUCCACUGGUGCUGCCAAACUGGUAAAUUACAACCUUGAAUGCUGGAGACCAGCAGAUAAAGAAAGUCUGGCUGAAAAAUGCAAUCAACACUAAGAAAUGGAGGAAGAAGACCACACCUUGAUAACAUUGCAUGAUCCCCUGGAUCCAGCCAUGCCUGAUGCUUCACUCCUUUUGGACUUUCCAGCUAAGUGAACUAAAGAAUUCUCAUUUUUUAAAAAAUUCCUGCUUAAACUAGUCGGAAUUGGGUUUCCUCUCACUUAUUCCUAAGAGUCUUCAAGUCCUGACUUACUCAAGAAGGGAAUUCCCAAUUCUAGACAGGGUAAGCAAAGGAAAGUGGUAGUUCUCCUCUUCCCAACAGUUUAAGUGAAAAUAAGUACAUAGAGAGGCAUACACACAUAUGUAUGUGGGGGGAGGUCUGUGUGUGCAUGCAUAUAUAUUUUUUCUCCCUAGCCACUUAAGCCCUAUUCAGUAACUGUCUACCUUAAAAUUAAAGUCAGGCAAUAAGCCCAAGAAAAUAGAAUAAACUUUCUCUUCCUUGCCCUUGCCUUGGGAUAGGUUUCCCACGCUUGUGAGAGAAUUUUCAGAUCUGAAAAAAAAAAAAAAAAAAAAUUGUGCAGAGGGACUCUUCAUUGCUGAAUGUUUAUGAUUGUAAGACUUAUUUUACUGGGCAAAUUUUGAAUCUAGUAACUAUGAAGGCUGUAGAGAAAGCUAUAAAAUGAACAAUAUUCUCAGAGUUUUGCAAUGUUAUUUUUCCUCCCAGGGGUUUCCAGCCGGCCUGAGUGUUCACAUGGUUAUGCAGAUGAUGAAAGAGGUUCAGAAAGAUUUUAAAAUCCUUUCGGAGUUGCAUGAGCGGCUGAGAUGGAAUUUGAACUCAACUGUCUUCCUCAUUCCUGAUUCAUAAUAAAAUAAUAAUAAUAGCUGCAACAUUUAUUGAGAAUUUGCUAGGUAUCAGUGUAAGUUCUACAUGGUCCUGACUUUCCUGACAAUACAGCAUACAAGCUUGCUCCUUCACUUGCCUAGUUGUCUUUAGAACACAAGUACAUCAAUGGUGAAUUUAUUUAUUUUUAACGUUUUUUAUGUAACGAAAGUAUCCAUCUUCUGUAGAAACAGCAUUUCUUUCCUCCUGAAUUAUCUGGUAGUAGUCUUUCUUUUAAUAAUAUGCAAUUUUACCUACUUUUCCUAAAAUUUCAUUACUAAGGAGAUGGCUUAGAGUAGGUUCUUUCUUCUUAGGCAACUCACUCUCUUUUGUUUCUGCAGUUGAAAAAAAGCAGGAGGGGAUUCACACAGCCAAACCAUACCAGGAAUCUACUACACAUUUUUUCUUCAGGCCUCCCCUGUUGAAAACCAGGCACUUGCUUGAAUAGCUUUAUGUCAGCUUCUAGUUUGACAGGUCAAGGCUGAGGACUACAUCAUUUUCUGGCAUGACCUAUGAGAUACUACGUGUUCCUGUAUUUUCAAGGCAGUUGUGAAUCAAUAUAUAACAUAGUGGUUAAGAGGUUGGGUUCUGGAACCUCAAUGCCCGGGUUUAAAUCCCAGUUUCUCCAAGUUUCGUUUUGUUUUGUUGACACACGGUCUUGCCCUGUCACCCAGGCUGUAGUGCAGUGGCACAACGACAGCUCACUGCAGCCUCAACCUCC
rnacentral:lncRNA from 1 species